AUGGCCACCUACCCCCUCCUCCUCCCCCUCCUCGCCGCCGUCGCCGUGGCGGCAGCGUCGUCCGCGGAGGACACGCCAACGGCGUACGAGAUGCUGGAGCGGUACGACUUCCCGCGGGGCAUCCUGCCGGAGGGGGUGGAGGGGUACGAGCUCGAUCGGGACGGCGGCUUCCAGGUGUACUUCCCGCGGGAGUGCGAGUUCCUGCUAGCCAAGCAGUGGCUGGUCAAGUACGACACGCGCAUCGCCGGCGCCGCCAGCGCGGGCAAGCUCGCGGCGCUGCAGGGCAUCUACGUCAAGGUACUCUUCCUGUGGAUCCCCGUCGCCGAGGUCGACCGCGCCGGCGAACGCCUCAGCUUCUACAUCAGCCCCGUCUCCACGUCCUUCCCGCUAAGCGACUUCGCCAGCAGCCCGCACUGCCGCGGCUACCACGACCGCGCCGCCGUCGCUGCGGCCGUCUCGUGA
rnacentral:rRNA from 1 species